rnacentral:rRNA from 1 species
UACGGGGGGGGCAAGCGUUGUUCGGAAUUACUGGGCGUAAAGGGUUCGUAGGUGGCCAACUAAGUCAGACGUGAAAUCCCUCAGCUUAACUGGGGAACUGCGUCUGAUACUGGUUGGCUUGAGUGCAGGAGAGGAAUGCGGAAUUCCAGGUGUAGCGGUGAAAUGCGUAGAUAUCGAGAGGAACACCUGCGGCGAAGGCGGGUUGCUGGGCUGACACUGACGCUGAUGCGCGAAAGCCAGGGGAGCGAACGGG